CCACCUGAUCCCAUCCCGAACUCAGCAGUGAAACGACGCAUCGCCGAUGGUAGUGUGGGGUCUCCCCAUGUGAGAGUAGGUCAUCGUCAAGC
rnacentral:rRNA from 1 species